UUUCUAGCUUUCUUUAAAAUAAUUUUUUUUUUGAGACAUGAAAAUGCUAUUCAUUCUUUCACCAAAUAGUGAACUCCCUCUAGGUAAGGGGUCUUGGAACAACUAAUGGUAACACCCGCCCACCCCCCUCCACCUUCAGUGAUCUUAUGGUCUAUUAUGGGAGAGAAAAAACAAAUUGUCAUCCAACAUAACAAAAGACUGGGGGAGAAGAGGAUGUAGAAGCUUCCUGAAGGAGGCAACAUGCAAGGCCUCCAAUUAAGAGAGAGAGACAUUGACUCUUAGCCUUCACUACAAUGGAAGGAAAUCAGACGUGCAUAUCACCGUCAGGAAAUGCUAUAGCUCCAGAUAUUUCUGAAUGGGCUGAUUGGUUCUCAUUCAGAGGAGGAUGUCGGUCAUCGUGGGAACCUUUGCAACAAACCAGGGAUGAAAAACAAUUCACAUUUCACACCUCUGCUCGUCCACCAUUUAUGGUCCAUAACAGGUCACAGAAAAGUGAGGGGAGAGAGUCGGGCAGGUGGCCAGACAAUGGAGUCUGAGCCACAGCUCUGCUCUUUCUUAGCUGUGUGUCCCUGAGGUAGCGCCCACAGAUGUUCUCUCCAAUUCUCUCCAAUCACAGCCCUCAGCAGUAGAGUCUUUGGUCACAGGAUGCAGCUAAGCACUGGAUCCUGGGAAGCACUGGCCGCCAGACAUCUUUUCAAAAAACUUUCUUACAGACUCAAGACUUCGGAGGAAAGCACUUCUUUACAAUGAAAAAUGAAUAAAUGGAUAUUUAUUUUC